rnacentral:rRNA from 1 species
UACGUAGGGGGCAAGCGUUGUCCGGAUUCAUUGGGCGUAAAGAGCGUGUAGGCGGCCAGGUAGGUCGGUUGUGAAAACUGGAGGCUCAACCUUCAGAGGUCGACCGAAACCAUCUGGCUAGAGCACAGUAGAGGCAGGUGGAAUUCCCGGUGUAGCGGUGGAAUGCGUAGAGAUCGGGAAGAACAUCAGUGGCGAAGGCGGCCUGCUGGGCUGUUGCUGACGCUGAGGCGCGACAGCGUGGGGAGCAAACAGG